rnacentral:lncRNA from 1 species
GGCGGCGGCGGCGCGGCGACGCUCGAGAGGACCAGCUUCACCACCGGCCAGGCUGUCCAGCAAACGAGCAAGGCUCGCCUCGCGGACGGCGGCGGCAACGGCGGCAACGGCGGCGGCAUCAAGAACGGAGGCGGCGGCGGCGACGGCGACGAGGGCGAUGACGAUGACUACUACGACGAGGGCGACGAAGACGGCGAGGGCGACAGCUUCAUCUCCACCCGCGCACCCCUCGAGGAGCGCUACGAUC